rnacentral:rRNA from 1 species
UACGGGAGGAGCAAGCGUUGUUCGGAUUUACUGGGCGUAAAGGGCGCGUAGGCGGCCACCGCAAGUCGGUUGUGAAAUCUCCGGGCUUAACCCGGAAAGGUCAAUCGAUACUGCGGGGCUAGAGUGCAGAAGGGGCAACUGGAAUUCUCGGUGUAGCGGUGAAAUGCGUAGAUAUCGAGAGGAACACCUGCGGCGAAGGCGGGUUGCUGGGCUGACACUGACGCUGAAGCGCGAAAGCUAGGGGAGCGAACGGG